rnacentral:sRNA from 1 species
GUGUUACAAUCGUUUCCCGAAAGGAUUCACAUUAUAUUAUUUCGUGAAGAUGCCUUGUAACCAAAUAAUCAAUUAUUAUAAUGGGGGAAUCUAA